rnacentral:rRNA from 1 species
UACGUAGGGUCCGAGCGUUGUCCGGAAUUAUUUGGGCGUAAAGAGCUCGUAGGCGGCUUUGUCGCGUCGUCCGUGAAAACCUGCGGCUCAACUGCAGGCUGGCGGUCGAUACGGGCAGGCUGGAGUUCGGUAGGGGAGACUGGAAUUCCUGGUGUAGCGGUGAAAUGCGCAGAUAUCAGGAGGAACACCGGUGGCGAAGGCGGGUCUCUGGGCCGAUACUGACGUGAGGAGCGAAAAGCGUGGGGGAGCGAACAGGG